CAUAUACCCUGCAUGAGUGGCCCUCAUGUGGAUGAGUUAAUGUGGGGCUUGAAGGUUCAGAUGUGAUGUUUAGUGCCCGGAGAAAAUUCAGAGCUGAUUAAAGAGGAUCGCUUUCCGAUGAGUGCAGGAAUGACAUUUCUCCUGACUCGUCAUAAAUUUGGAGUCCAUCCAUAUAUGUUGGUUACUAAACUUAUUAUUGAGAAGGCAGGCGUCGUGUUUGAGUGCGAUCGCUGUGUGGACGAUCAUCAUGACUCACUGCGCGGUGCUGCUGAGCACAUUAAGAAAAUAUCUUGCAUUGACACACAGAGUUGGGAUUUACUGAAACUUGCGGCAGCGUUCAAGGUGAUAUGCUGCCCUAAAGAAAAAGUUGAACUUGGAGAACAUGUAACCAUAAUAUUUUGUGAAUGCGUACGCAUUUUGAUGGAAAAUUCUCAUUCAACUAAGGCCGAGUUUAGUUCCAAAAUUUUUCUUCAAACCUCCAACUUUUCUAUCACAUUAAAAUUUUUCUACACACACAAACUUCCAACUUUUCUGUCACAUCGUUCCAAUUUCAACCAAACUUCCAAUUUUGGAGUAAACUAAACACACCCUA
rnacentral:lncRNA from 1 species